rnacentral:rRNA from 1 species
GGGUAACACCAACUGGAGGUCCGAACCCACACCUGUUGAAAAAGGUCGGGAUGACUUGUGCCUAGGGGUGAAAGGCCAAUCAAAUCUGGAGAUAGCUGGUUCUCCGCGAAAGCUAUUUAGGUAGCGCCUCGGACGUAUCCUCCUGGGGGUAGAGCACUACAUGGAUGAUGGGGGCCCACAGCCUUACUGAGUCUAAGUAAACUCCGAAUACCAGGAAGGACUAUCCGGGAGACACACGGCGGGUGCUAACGUCCGUCGUGGAGAGGGAAACAACCCUGACCAACAGCUAAGGCCCCCAAUUCGUGGCUAAGUGGGAAAGCAUGUGAGACUUCCAAAACAACCAGGAGGUUGGCUUAGAAGCAGCCAUCCUUUAAAGAUAGCGUAACAGCUCACUGGUCUAAAUAAGAGGUCUUGCGGCGAAGAUGUAACGGGGCUCAAGCCACGAGCCGAAGCUUUGGGUGUGCAUUUAUGCACGCGGUAGCGGAGCGUUCUGUGAUAUAGAACGCUGCCUCCUUAGUAUCCUCGGAUACAUUGGAGGCAUUGUUCUGACUGUGAAGCCGGGCUGUAAGGCAUCCGGUGGAGUGAUCAGAAGCGAGAAUGUUGACAUGAGUAGCGACAAACAGGGUGAGAGACCCUGUCGCCGAAAGUCCAAGGGUUCCUGCUUAAAGCUAAUCUGAGCAGGGUAAGCCGGCCCCUAAGGCGAGGCCGAAAGGCGUAGUCGAUGGGAACCAGGUUAAUAUUCCUGGGCCAGGAGAUGGUGACGGAUCAUAGAGGUAGUUCGGUCUUAACGGAUUGAUCGGGCUGCUGAGUGGUCCCUGGAAAUAGCCCUCCAUGAGACCGUACCCUAAACCGACACAGGUGGACUGGUAGAGAAUACCAAGGCGCUUGAGAGAACCACAUUUAAGGAACUCGGCAAAAUACCUCCGUAAGUUCGCGAGAAGGAGGCCCCGUUUGUACGCAAGUAUGGGCGGGGGGCACAAACCAGGGGGUGGCGACUGUUUACUAAAAACACAGGGCUCUGCGAAGCCGUAAGGCGACGUAUAGGGUCUGACGCCUGCCCGGUGCCGGAAGGUUAAAAGGAGAUGUGCAAGCAUUGAAUUGAAGCCCCGGUAAACGGCGGCCGUAACUAUAACGGUCCUAAGGUAGCGAAAUUCCUUGUCGGGUAAGUUCCGACCUGCACGAAUGGCGUAACGACUUCCCCGCUGUCUCAAAUGUGGACUCAGCGAAAUUGAAUUGUCUGUGAAGAUGCAGACUUCCCGCGGUUAGACGGAAAGACCCCAUGCACCUUUACUAUAGCUUCGCACUGGCAU